rnacentral:rRNA from 1 species
GUGCCAGCCGCCGCGGUAAGACGAACCGUGCGAACGUUGUUCGGAAUCACUGGGCUUAAAGGGCGCGUAGGCGGGCCUUCAAGUCCGGGGUGAAAUCCUCCAGCCUAACUGGAGAAGAGCCUCGGAGACUGAGGGCCUCGAGGAGGGUAGGGGCAAGCGGAACUAUGGGUGGAGCGGUGAAAUGCAUUGAUAUCCAUAGGAACUCCGGUGGCGAAGGCGGCUUGCUGGACCCUUUCUGACGCUGAGGCGCGAAAGCCAGGGGAGCAAACGGGAUUAGAAACCCGCGUAGUCC